rnacentral:rRNA from 1 species
CCUACGGGGGGCUGCAGUGGGGAAUAUUGGACAAUGGGGGCAACCCUGAUCCAGCCAUGCCGCGUGUGUGAAGAAGGCCCUCGGGUUGUAAAGCACUUUCAGUGAGGAAGAACGCCUGGUGGUUAAUACCCAUCAGGAAAGACAUCACUCACAGAAGAAGCACCGGCUAACUCCGUGCCAGCAGCCGCGGUAAUACGGAGGGUGCGAGCGUUAAUCGGAAUUACUGGGCGUAAAGCGCGCGUAGGUGGCUUGAUAAGCCGGUUGUGAAAGCCCCGGGCUCAACCUGGGAACGGCAUCCGGAACUGUCAAGGUAGAGUGCAGGAGAGGAAGGUAGAAUUCCCGGUGUAGCGGUGAAAUGCGUAGAGAUCGGGAGGAAUACCAGUGGCGAAGGCGGCCUUCUGGACUGACACUGACACUGAGGUGCGAAAGCGUGGGUAGCAAACAGGAUUAGAUACCCCGGUAGUC